AUUGAACGCUGGCGGCAUGCUUUACACAUGCAAGUCGAACGGUAACAGGUUAAGCCGACGAGUGGCGAACGGGGGAGUAAUGCAUCGGAACGUGCCCAGUCGGUGGGGAUAACGUAGCCAAAGCUACGCUAUUCCCGCAUACGACCUGGGGAUGAAAGCGGGGGACCGGACGGCCCCGCGCGCUUGGACCGGCCGAUGUCAGAUUAGGUAGCCGGUGGGGUAAAGGCUCACCAAGCCGACGAUCUGUAGCUGGUCUGAGAGGACGACCAGCCACACUGGGACUGAGACACGGCCCAGACUCCUACGGGAGGCAGCAGUGGGAAAUUUUGGACAAUGGGCGCAAGCCUGAUCCAGCAAUGCCGCGUGCAGGAUGAAGGCCUUCGGGUUGUAAACUGCUUUUGUACGGAGCGAAAAGGAUUCCACUAAUACUGGGGGCUCAUGACGGUACCGUAAGAAUAAGCACCGGCUAACUACGUGCCAGCCGCCGCGGUAACAC
rnacentral:rRNA from 1 species